GACGAACGCUGGCGGCGUGCCUAAUACAUGCAAGUAGAACGCACAGUUUAUACCGUAGCUUGCUACACCAUAAACUGUGAGUUGCGAACGGGUGAGUAACGCGUAGGUAACCUGCCUGGUAGCGGGGGAUAACUAUUGGAAACGAUAGCUAAUACCGCAUAAUAUUAAUUAUUGCAUGAUAAUUGAUUGAAAGAUGCAAUUGCAUCACUACCAGAUGGACCUGCGUUGUAUUAGCUAGUAGGUGAGGUAACGGCUCACCUAGGCGACGAUACAUAGCCGACCUGAGAGGGUGAUCGGCCACACUGGGACUGAGACACGGCCCAGACUCCUACGGGAGGCAGCAGGAGGGAAUCUUCGGCAAUGGACGAAAGGCUGACCGAGCAACGCCGCGGGAGUGAAGAAGGUUGUCGGAUCGUAAAGCUCUGUUGUAAGAGAAGAACGGGUGUGAGAGUGGAAAGUUCACACUGUGACGGUAUCUUACCAGAAAGGGACGGCUAACUACGUG
rnacentral:rRNA from 1 species